rnacentral:rRNA from 1 species
GGGGGAAUAUUGGACAAUGGGCGAAAGCCUGAUCCAGCCAUGCCGCGUGUGUGAAGCAGGUCUUCGGAUUGUAAAGCACUUUAAGUUGGGAGGAAGGGUUGUAGAUUAAUACUAUGCAAUUUUGACGUUACCGACAGAAUAAGCACCGGCUAACUCAGCGCAAGCAGCCGCGGUAAUAAAGAGGGUGCAAGCGUUAAUCGGAAUUACUGGGCGUAAAGCGCGCGUAGGUGGUUUGUUAAGUUGGAUGUGAAAGCCCCGGGCUCAACCUGGGAACUGCAUCCAAAACUGGCAAGCUAGAGUACGGUAGAGGGUGGUGGAAUUUCCUGUGUAGCGGUGAAAUGCGUAGAUAUAGGAAGGAACACCAGUGGCGAAGGCGACCACCUGGACUGAUACUGACACUGAGGUGCGAAAGCGUGGGGAGCAAACA